AGGAUGAACGCUAGCGGCAGGCUUAAUACAUGCAAGUCGAGGGGCAGCAGCUUUAUAGCAAUAUAGAGGCUGGCGACCGGCAAACGGGUGACGGAACACGUACACAACCUUCCUUGAAUAGGGGGAUAGCCCAUAGAAAUGUGGAUUAAUACCCCGUAAUAUAGCGGUGUGGCAUCGACACUGUUAUUAUAGUUUCGGCGAUUCGAGAUUGGGGUGUCGCGGCUGAUUAGGGUAGUUGGGACGGGUAAAGGCCCACAAGCCUUCGAUCGAGUAGCUGAUGUGAGACGUCAAUGAUCGAGCCCAGACCGGGCACUGGAAGACCGCCGGGCCCACUCCGACGGGAGC
rnacentral:rRNA from 1 species